rnacentral:rRNA from 1 species
CCUACGGGAGGCAGCAGUGGGGAAUAUUGCACAAUGGGGGAAACCCUGAUGCAGCGACGCCGCGUGAGUGAAGAAGUAAUUCGUUAUGUAAAGCUCUAUUAGCAGGGAAGAAAAUGACGGUACCUGAGUAAUAAGCCCCGGCUAACUACGUGCCAGCAGCCGCGGUAAUACGUAGGGGGCAAGCGUUAUCCGGAUUUACUGGGUGUAAAGGGAGCGUAGACGGGAGUGCAAGUCUGGAGUGAAAGGCGGGGGCUCAACCCCCGGACUGCUCUGGAAACUGUGCGUCUGGAGUGCAGGAGAGGUAGGUGGAAUUCCUGGUGUAGCGGUGAAAUGCGUAGAGAUUAGGAGGAACACUAGUGGCGAAGGCGGCUUGCUGGACUGUAACUGACGUUGAGGCGCGAAAGCGUGGGGAGCAAACAGGAUUAGAUACCCGAGUAGUC